rnacentral:lncRNA from 1 species
CUGACGUCAUUUGCAGACUCUAUACAGCCUGAAAACAGGAAGAGAGAAGCAGAAGUCCAGGGAGUCACAGGAGGUGCCGUUAUCUUCUGGGAUAGAGUGUCUGAUGCAUUGACCUCAGAAACUCCAACGGCAGCCACCUCACUUCAGAAAAUGCAUCUGGUUGCUGUCCCCAGAGCUGUGUGUGCUGCCCAUGGGAACAUGGAGGGCACUGAGUAUCAGCAAGUCUUCGUCAGCUUUUGUUCUCUAGCACUGUAGAAUUCUGUGUAUUUUGGAAUGAGACAUGCCAGUAUGCUGUUCUAAGCCAGUAGCUGAACAGAUUCAGCAGCAUUUGCAGAAGUCCUGCAAAGUAAGUUGACAGCCCUGAGCUGAGCUCCUGGUGCAGCUGGGGCAGCCCAGCUCUGUCAGGUCCCUCUGGGCACCCUAAGCCCUGCUGUGUGCCCACAGCUCUCGCUGUGCCCCUGUGCUUGGUUUCAUAGAAUUGUAGAGUUGUUUGAGUUGGAAGGGACCCUUAAAGGCCAUCCUAUCCAACUCCCCUGCAAUGAACAAGGACACCCACAGCUCCAUCAGGUGAUCAGAGCCGGGUCCAGCCUGACCCUGAAUGGCUCCAAGGAUGGGGCAUCCACCAGCUCUCUGGGCAACCUGUGCCAGUGCCUCACCGCCCUUACAGUAAAAAAAACUUCCUAAUAUCCAGUCUAAAUCUUCCCUUUUAGUUUGAAACCAUUUUUCCUUGCUUUGUCACCACAGACCCUCCUGAAGACUCUGUCCCCUUUUUUCUUACAACCCCUUUGGAUACUGACAGGCCGCCCUCAGCUCUCCCCACAGCCUUCUCUUCUCCAUGCUGCACAGCCGCAGCUCUCAGCCUGUCCUCACAAGGAGGUGUUCCAUUCCAUCGGUCAUUUUCGUGACCCUCCUCUGGAUGCAGUCCAACAGGUCCGUAUCUCUCCUGUACUGAGGAUGCAGUACUCCAGGCGAGGUCUCACCGGCGCAGAGCGGAGGGGCGGGACCCCUCCCUCGCCCUGCUGGCCACGCCGCUUUUGCCGCAGCCCAGGAUAGCGGUUUCCUUCACAAACACCCACUUUUGUCCCAUUUCCUUAACGUGAGGGAGCGACGGGGAUCCCGGGACCCCGAUCCCGCACGGCGAGACCCCCCUCCAGCGGACGGCCCGUGCCCGGAGGCUUUGUGCGGAGCGCUGCGAGAGCCGCGGGAUGCUGCGGGCAUCGCUGCGCCCGCGGAGCGCGUUCCUCCCGGGGGCGAGCGGAGCUUGGCUCGCCCCCGGGAAGGACGCGCCGAGCCGUCGGUUCUCCCCGCCGCCGCCCGGCUUCCGUUAGCGGCCGGAGCAGGACAUCUUUG